AUUGAACGCUGGCGGCAGGCCUAACACAUGCAAGUCGAGCGAGAGGCGGACGGGUGAGUAAUGUCUGGGAACACGCCUGAUGGAGGGGGAUAACGACGGGAAACGGGAGCUAAUACCGCAUAACAUAUGAUGUGCCCAGAUGGCAUUAGCUAGUAGGUGGGGUAACGGCUCACCUAGGCGACGAUCCCUAGCUGGUCUAAGAGGAUGACCAGCCACACUGGAACUGAGACACGGUCCAGACUCCUACGGGAGGCAGCAGUGGGGAAUAUGGCACAAUGGGCGCAAGCCUGAUGCAGCCAUGCCGCGUGUGUGAAGAAGGCCUUCGGGUUGUAAAGCACUUUCAGCGGGGAGGCGUUACCCGCAGAAGAAGCACCGGCUAACUCCGUGCCAGCAGCCGCGGUAAUAC
rnacentral:rRNA from 1 species